UCCGGUUUGGCACCGGCGGUCUCCCAUGAGUUCCCGGCAUCACCCGCUGGCAACAUGGGACAGGGGUUGCGCUCGUUGCGCCACUUAAGGCAACAUCUCACGACACGAGCUGACGACAGCCAUGCACCACCUGUGAUCCUGCCCAAUUAAGGGAAACCGUGUUUCCACGGCGGUCAGGAACAUGUCAAACCCAGGUAAGGUUCUUCGCGUUGCGUCGAAUUAAACCACAUGCUCCGCUGCUUGUGCUGGCCCCCGUCAAUUCUUUUGAGUUUUAGCCUUGCGGCCGUACUCCCCAGGCGGAACACUUAACGCGUUGGCUUCGGCACAGGGGGAUUCGACUCCCCCCACACCUAGUGUUCAUCGUUUACGGCAUGGACUAC
rnacentral:misc_RNA from 1 species